AUCGCUUCUCGGUCUUUUGGCUAAGAUCAAGUGUAGUAUCUGUUCUUAUCAGUUUAAUAUCUGAUACGUCCUCUAUCAGAGGACAAUAUAUUAAAUGGAUUUUUGAAGCUGGGAGUUGGAAUGGGAGCUUGCUCUGUCCACUCCACGCAUCGACCCGGUAUUGCAGUACCUCCGGGAACGGUGCACAAAAA